UACGUAGGGUGCAAGCGUUAAUCGGGAUUACUGGGCGUAAAGCGUGCGCAGGCGGUUUUGUAAGUCUGACGUGAAAUCCCCGGGCUCAACCUGGGAAUUGCGAUGGAGACUGCAAGGCUUGAAUCUGGCAGAGGGGGGUAGAAUUCCACGUGUAGCAGUGAAAUGCGUAGAGAUGUGGAGGAACACCGAUGGCGAAGGCAGCCCCCUGGGUCAAGAUUGACGCUCAUGCACGAAAGCGUGGGGAGCAAACAGG
rnacentral:rRNA from 1 species